CAUGGCCCUGCAGGCGUCACAGGUGGACUGUGCUCCACAUGUGGGCCUGCAGGUGUCACAGGUGGACUGUGCUCCACAUGUGGGCCUGCAGGUGUCACAGGUGGACUGUGUCCUACAUG